GAUGAACGCUAGCGGCAGGCUUAAUACAUGCAAGUCGAGGGGCAGCAUGUCCCGGCGCAAGUCGGGAUGAUGGCGACCGGCAAACGGGUGCGGAACACGUACAGAACCUUCCUUCGAGCGGGGAAUAGCCCAGAGAAAUUUGGAUUAAUACCCCAUAGUAUUACGGAGUGGCAUCACUUUGUAAUUAAAGAUUUAUCACUUGAAGAUGGCUGUGCGGCUGAUUAGGUAGUUGGCGGGGUAACGGCCCACCAAGCCUGCGAUCAGUAACUGGUGUGGGGGCACGACCAGUCACACGGGCACUGAGACACGGGCCCGGCUCCUACGGGAGGCAGCAGUAAGGAAUAUUGGUCAAUGGGCGAAAGCCUGAUUCAGCAAUGCCGCGUGUGUGAAGAAGGCCUUCGGGUUGUAAAGCACUUUUGUCCGGAAAGAAAUGGCUCUGGUUAAUACCUGGGGUCGAUGACGGUACCGGAAGAAUAAGGACCGGCUAACUACGUGCCAGCCGCCGCAGUAAGAC
rnacentral:rRNA from 1 species